rnacentral:rRNA from 1 species
AUUGAACGCUGGCGGCAGGCCUAACACAUGCAAGUCGAGCGGAUGAAGGGAGCUUGCUCCUGGAUUCAGCGGCGGACGGGUGAGUAAUGCCUAGGAAUCUGCCUGGUAGUGGGGGAUAACGUCCGGAAACGGGCGCUAAUACCGCAUACGUCCUGAGGGAGAAAGUGGGUAUCUUCGGACCUCACGCUAUCAGAUGAGCCUAGGUCGGAUUAGCUAGUUGGUGGGGUAAAGGCCUACCAAGGCGACGAUCCGUAACUGGUCUGAGAGGAUGAUCAGUCACACUGGAACUGAGACACGGUCCAGACUCCUACGGGAGGCAGCAGUGGGGAAUAUUGGACAAUGGGCGAAAGCCUGAUCCAGCCAUGCCGCGUGUGUGAAGAAGGUCUUCGGAUUGUAAAGCACUUUAAGUUGGGAGGAAGGGCAGUAAGUUAAUACCUUGCUGUUUUGACGUUACCAACAGAAUAAGCACCGGCUAACUUCGUG